CUGGGUGAAAGAGUGAGAUCCCUCUGGCACGUUUGUUAAGUUUUCUCCUGACUCUGUCACAUAUAUUAUAUCGGAGAUGGCAAAGGCUUGAUAACAAAGAGAUCUCUCUUAAGCCUUUCCUGCAUCAGAGAUUGGCUCCCACAUGU
rnacentral:snoRNA from 1 species